CAGGGAUUGCCCCAGUAACGGCGAGUGAAGCGGCAACAGCUCAAAUUUGAAAUCUGGCCCCCCGGCCCGAGUUGUAAUUUGGAGAGGAUGCUUUUGGCACGGCGCCGUCCGAGUUCCUUGGAACAGGACGCCACAGAGGGUGAGAGCCCCGUACGGACGGACGCCUAGCCUCUACAAAGCUCCUUCGACGAGUCGAGUAGUUUGGGAAUGCUGCUCAAAAUGGGAGGUAAAUUUCUUCUAAAGCUAAAUACCGGCCAGAGACCGAUAGCGCACAAGUAGAGUGAUCGAAAGAUGAAAAGCACUUUGAAAAGAGGGUUAAAAAGUACGUGAAAUUGUUGAAAGGGAAGCGCCUGUGACCAGACUUGCGCCCCGUGGACCAUCCGGCGUUCUCGCCGGUGCACUCCGCGGGGCGCAGGCCAGCAUCGGUUCUCCUAGGGGGAUAAAGGCCGCGGGAACGUAGCUCCUUCGGGAGUGUUAUAGCCCGUGGUGGCAUGCCCCUGGGGGGACCGAGGACCGCGCUUCGGCAAGGAUGCUGGCGUAAUGGUCACCAGCGACCCGUCUUGAAACACGGACCAAGGAGUCAAGCAUUGGGGCGAGUGUAUGGGUGCCAAACCCGCACGCGAAAUGAAAGUAAACGCAGGUGAGAGCUUCGGCGCAUCAUCGACCGAUCCUGAUGUCUUCGGAUGGAUUUGAGUAAGAGCCUUACCGCUUGGACCCGAAAGAUGGUGAACUAUGCCUGAAUAGGGUGAAGCCAGAGGAAACUCUGGUGGAGGCUCGCAGCGGUUCUGACGUGCAAAUCGAUCGUCAAAUUUGGGCAUGGGGGCGAAAGACUAAU
rnacentral:rRNA from 1 species